GAUGAACGCUAGCUACAGGCUUAACACAUGCAAGUCGAGGGACCGGCGCACGGGUGAGUAACACGUAUCCAACCUGCCCUUUACUCGGGGAUAGCCUUUCGAAAGAAAGAUUAAUACCCGAUAUAAAGGAUGGGGAUGCGUUCCAUUAGGUUGUUGGUGAGGUAACGGCUCACCAAGCCUUCGCUGGAGAGGGGUUCUGAGAGGAAGGGCCCCCAGAUUGGAACUGAGACACGGUCCACACGCCUACGGGAGGCAGCAGUGAUGAAUAUUGGGCAAUGGGCGCUAGCCUGAACCAGCCAAGUAGCGUGAAGGAUGAAUGCUUAUGGGUCGUAAACUUCCUUUAUAUAAGAAUAUGUAUUAUAUGAAUAAGCAUCGGCUAACUCCGUGCCAGCAGCCGCGGUAAUUC
rnacentral:rRNA from 1 species